CGGGGGUUGGUUUAGCGGUAAAAUACACGGUUCGGGACCGUGUGAUGGAGGGUUCGACUCCCUCACCCCCGA
rfam:Candidatus Falkowbacteria bacterium CG1_02_37_44 cg1_0.2_scaffold_21414_c, whole genome shotgun sequence.